AUGGAUCCACACCCAAAAGUGCUAUGCUGGAACGUUCGCGGGCUGAACAAUCCAGCUAAAUGCAAGGCGGUGCGCGAGUUCGUGAGUACAUUAGAUGUUAAUCUCAUUUGUUUUCAAGAGACCAAGAUGGAUGUAAUAGAUAGGUUUACAGUGAUGUAAUGCAUGGGGCCAUCCUUUGAUGGCUUUGCCUACUUGCCGGCGGAGGAGACGCGUGGGGGUGUGUUG
rnacentral:rRNA from 1 species